AAAAAAAAAAAUCCCCCCCUCCUCUUCAGUGAAGAGGACCAGACCUUUAUAGGGGAAAAAUUAGGGUUUGUAAUGGGGGGAAAACGGAUAAAAAUUUCCAUAGGGCCAGGGACCAUUUCAAAAUUUGAAAUCCAAAUCCUUUCACCAUUUAGGGGAUACAACUUUUUCUCCAAAAAAACGUCUCAUUCCGGAAGAGGAAAAAGGGACAAG
rnacentral:lncRNA from 1 species